rnacentral:lncRNA from 1 species
GUUUUUUUUCUCACCAGAAUGGCUAGUUAACACUAACGUUGUAGUGGAACAACACAGUGGAAUUGUUGUUGAAGAACCCCUUUCAAUGCACACAUCAGAUUCAAGCUUCUGAGAAAAAGACGCAUUGAUCAUGUGAUGGACGAAGGUCUGCGUAUUCAAACUGCGCAACACAACAAGAAGAUAAGAAGAAAAGGGGAUACUGCAUAUUUGGCUUUUUAAGGGACACGUUGUGAAGGAAAGUUCCGCUAACAAGGGCAAUUAGUACAACUUGAAAAGCCAAGGUCCUCCUGUUCCCUGAUUAAGAGGGGAUGACCACUCCACUACCAGUGUCAACUCUCUCCUGAUAUGAACUGAAACAAUGUCUCAUCUGGCACAUUGAAUGUUCCCUCUCAAUUUUCUCUCAUUACUUCAAAUCUUGCCCUGCCCUCAGUGGAAAAGUUAUUCUCCAACACCAUCCAUCCAUGAUGAGCCUGUCCUGCACUGAACCCUCUGAACACCUCAACCCCUGUCCUGCACUGAACCCUCUGAACACCUCAACCCCUGUCCUGAACUGAAGUCAAGCCUCUGAACCCCUCAACUCAUUUCAUCACUGCUGCGGUCCCUUCCCAACAGUGUUCCGCGCUUCUACCGUGGGUCUCAAGUUACCAGCCUCCACUGAUGCAGUAGUUAUUCUCUAGGGUAGAGAGGUAAGAGACAGUGUGCAAUACACACACACUCACACACUCACGCACUUCUCAGGUCCAAACCACCAUUACCAUUCAAAUAAGAUUUAAUACAUCACUCAGCAGUUUCCUGGUUUUGUUUAGUCUAAAUUGAAAUAUACUUUGUAAAGUAUUUGUGGCGACUUGAUUAAUAAGCACUACUUAAAAUACCUUCCAUUGAACAAGGGUUGUUUGGUAGAGAAAAACGUAGAUGUAGGAGGAGGGGCUGUUUUUAUGAAAUAACAUCCUGUAGACUCAUUAAUGUCAAAUCUGUUUCCUAAAUGAGGAUGUGUUUUAGUUAUAGAGAUGGACUACCAUCUGGCUGUGUUGGGAUGCAUAAUGUCCAGGGAGUUGGGGGCACAGCCUGGC